CGGGACGGGUGAGUAAUGUCUGGGAAACUGCCUGAUGGAGGGGGACAACUACUGGAAACGGUAGCUAAUACCGCAUAACGUCGCAAGACCAAAGAGGGGGACCUUCGGGCCUCUUGCCAUCGGAUGUGCCCAGAUGGGAUUAGCUAGUAGGUGGGGUAACGGCUCACCUAGGCGACGAUCCCUAGCUGGUCUGAGAGGAUGACCAGCCACACUGGAACUGAGACACGGUCCAG
rnacentral:rRNA from 1 species